GGACCUAUAGCUCAGCGGUAGAGCACCUGAUUCCAGUUCUUAGGCACCUCACACCUUCCGGUGAAGGGUCAUAUAAAACUGCAUCCAGGAGGUCAUCCGUUCAAAUCGGGUUGGGUUCA